rnacentral:lncRNA from 1 species
UGUGCACAAUGUGCAGGUUAGUUACAUAUGUAUACAUGUGCCAUGCUGGUGUGCUGCAUCCAUUAACUCGUCAUUUAGCAUUAGGUAUAUCUCCUAAUGCUAUCCCUCCCCCCUCCUCCCACCCCACAACAGUCCCCAGAGUGUGAUGUUCCCCUUCCUGUGUCCAUGUGUUCUCAUUGUUGAAUUCCCAUCUAUGAGUGAGAACAUGCGGUGUUUGGUUUUUUGUCCUUGCCAUAGUUUGCUGAGAAUG